AGUGAACGCUGGCGGUAGGCCUAACACAUGCAAGUCGAACGGCAGCACAGUAAGAGCUUGCUCUUACGGGUGGCGAGUGGCGGACGGGUGAGGAAUACAUCGGAAUCUACUUUUUCGUGGGGGAUAACGUAGGGAAACUUACGCUAAUACCGCAUACGACCUACGGGUGAAAGCAGGGGAUCUUCGGACCUUGCGCGAUUGAAUGAGCCGAUGUCGGUUUAGCUAGUUGGCGGGGUAAAGGCCCACCAAGGCGACGAUCCGUAGCUGGUCUGAGAGGAUGAUCAGCCACACUGGAACUGAGACACGGUCCAGACUCCUACGGGAGGCAGCAGUGGGGAAUAUUGGACAAUGGGCGCAAGCCUGAUCCAGCCGUACCGCGUGGGUGAAGAAGGCCUUCGGGUUGUAAAGCCCUUUUGUUGGGAAAGAAAAGCAGCAGGUUAAUACCCCGCUGUUCUGACGGUACCCAAAGAAUAAGCACCGGCUAACUUCGUG
rnacentral:rRNA from 1 species